CUGCCUUAGACAAAGGAUGCACUCAGAACCUCACCACACCUAAAGCCAUGCUUUGAAGGAUCUGCCAAGCUCACUUUUAAUCAUGAGAAAGAAAUUACCCACAUGGAGUCAGCAGAAAAUGAGAAAGUAGAGCUCGUGCUGCGAAUAAUUCCAGCAAGUGCCAAGGGGCUAGUUGAAGAAUGGCUCCAUGAGG
rfam:Pteropus vampyrus cont1.337, whole genome shotgun sequence.